UGGUCACAUAUGUUGAAAUGGAGCUGCCUUGAACCUGGCUUUCGACAAUGGAGUAUGUCACCUGGCCGUUCGAACCCAAAUCCGGAUCAGUGGCCACGACUGAGGUCAGAUACGCUCCAGACAUCCAGAGCACAUGAUGAUUGGUGGCGUCUGCCAAGUGGACGCAGAGGGGGAGGCGUCCAGCUCUGGGACAUCACUGGAUCAGUAUGGGUUGGGACCAACAUUGCAUACUUGGGAGAGAUUGGGGUGACAAAACCAUUCCCUUUUGUCCUUGGCUUUGAAGAUGGUGAUCUGUGCCAUCAAGCCUUUGUUGUUUUUGGCAGACACUCACUCCAGCAGUACACCCUCCUUGGUGCUGUUGACGCGUUUUAAACUUUUUUUAUUUUUUGAACAUUUAUUUUCUCAAGCAGUGCGCAACAGUGGAGGUGAUUUGCAGAUCGUUGUUUACAAACUCCUAAGAACUGAAUCCCCUUCUAUAAGAAGUCUGUGUAGUUAUUUGUCAUGCUAAGGUUAUAAUUCAUGUUUAUCAUAUGUUGACUGUUUGUGCAACUUUGUGUUGGUCUUAUUUGUUACAUUAACCAUUUCUUAUUACACGGUUCUCUAAAACGGUUCUCGUGACAUUUUACUACUGCUCAAAAAA